GGGAGCAAGGGGGGCUCGUCAUUCUCUUCGCCGGCGAUUUGUGGUCGUUCUCGCCGAAGGGGGAGACGCACCGGGAGUGAGGGCGGGUUCACGCGUCGAUCUCGUCGCCCGACGAUUCGUCCUCACCAAGGGGAGGCGCGCCGGGAGCGAGGGUGGCGCACUCCCGUGCGUGAUUUUAUCCGGCGGCCUGGGGGUGAUUCAUCUUUCGUUGAGGGAGCACGCUGCGAAGGGAGGGACGACUCCGUGCGCAGGGACCUGCACUCCAUUCGCAGGACAUUCUUUUUAAGGCACAUCCUCUAGAUUUUGAGUGACAGGACCAAUGGAGAAGAAGCUGCGAUAGCGGUAUAUUUGUCAUGAAACUCAUGCAAAGCCAUGAUGGCGAGAAGCAACACCUGUUCAAACCAGAAGAUGCAAAACCAUUGCGUGAAUGCAUAUCCUACUACUUGCUGAUACACCCAUGCAAAGAAAAGUACGAAACCCUUGUUGAAAUAAAAAACAUAUUAAGCAUGCAUAGCGUGACCAUCGAGUUCUAUAAGUGAAGAUGGUGGUGUGCAGUUUAUGGUUACAAAAAAGAUGACCUUAUUCGAUGUAUAUUAUGGACGCAUACGUUGGAGAACAAUAGCCAAUCAGUUUUUUUUAUUUUUUUAAACAAAAAAUCCACCCUCCUAUACGUCUGAGCAUGAGAUCCCGGAGAAUUGUUUCACAUUUUAAUUAAAUAUUUGUGACUUUUUUGUUCCUA